rnacentral:misc_RNA from 1 species
GAUGAAGAACGUAGCGAAAUGCGAUACUUGGUGUGAAUUGCAGAAUCCCGUGAACCAUCGAGUCUUUGAACGCAAGUUGCGCCCGAAGCCAUUAGGCCGAGGGCACGCCUGCCUGGGCGUCACACGUCGUUGCCCCCCCAUCUACUCCUUCGGGAUUGCGGGGGGCGGAUGAUGGCCUCCCGUGCGCCUCGCCGCGCGGUUGGCAUAAAUGCCAAGUCCUUGGCGACGCACGCCACGACAAUCGGUGGUUGCGAAACCUCGGUUGCCCGUCGUGUGCGGUCGUCGCGCAUCGAGGGCUCGAAAAAAUUGCCGGGUUCCGGCUCGGCUUUCAACGCGACCCCAGGUCAGGCGGGGUUGCCCGCUGAAUUUAAGCAUAUCAAUAAGCGGAGGA